rnacentral:tRNA from 1 species
GCUCCCGCAUGAAGCGGUUGAGCACCAGUUCGAAAUCCUUUCGAGUCAGACCGACUGAACUGCACCGCAACCCGCCCUCCGGAGGCGGGAGCGCAGGUUCGAAUCCUGCCGGGGGCG